rnacentral:rRNA from 1 species
CGCGUAGGCGGCCCUUUAAGUCAGAUGUGAAAGCCCGGGGCUUAACCCCGGAAGUGCAUUUGAAACUAUUGGGCUUGAGUAUGGGAGAGGGAAGUGGAAUUCCUGGUGUAGAGGUGAAAUUCGUAGAUAUCAGGAGGAACACCGGUGGCGAAGGCGGCUUCCUGGACCAAUACUGACGCUGAGGCGCGAAGGCGUGGGGAGCAAACAGGAUUAGAUACCCUGGUAGUCC